AAAUCGAUGCUAGAAGAGACAAUUUUUCAGCAUGUAUUGCUCUAGGCAAAGAACUCUUGUCUAGAGGACAUUAUGCCACUAACGAGAUCAAAGAGAAACUGGUAACCCUCGCCAACCAACGCAAUUCCAUGCUGCACCGAUAGGAGGAACGUUGGGAACACCUCCAGCUCAUUUUGGAAGUCUACCAAUUCGCCCGAGAUGCAGCCGUGGCAGUAGGAUGGUUGAUGGCGCAAGAAUCCUACCUGAUGAGUCACGAAUUGGGA